CACGUAGGAGGCGAGCGUUGUCCGGAAUCAUUGGGCGUAAAGAGCGCGCAGGCGGCUUGGCAAGUCGGGUGUGAAAUCCCGGGGCUCAACCCCGUGACUGCAUCCGAUACUGUCAGGCUAGAGGUAGGUAGGGGAGAUCGGAAUUCCUGGUGUAGCGGUGAAAUGCGCAGAUAUCAGGAGGAACACCGGUGGCGAAGGCGGCAUCCUGGACCAACACUGACGCUGAGGAGCGAAAGCCAGGGGAGCAAACGGG
rnacentral:rRNA from 1 species